CUACGUGCCAGCAGCCGCGGUAAUACGUAGGUGGCAAGCGUUGUCCGGAAUUAUUGGGCGUAAAGGGCGCGCAGGCGGCUUCUUAAGUCUGUCUUAAAAGUGCGGGGCUUAACCCCGUGAUGGGAUGGAAACUGGGAAGCUCAGAGUAUCGGAGAGGAAAGCGGAAUUCCUAGUGUAGCGGUGAAAUGCGUAGAUAUUAGGAAGAACACCAGUGGCGAAGGCGACUUUCUGGACGAAAACUGACGCUGAGGCGCGAAAGCCAGGGGAGCGAACGGGAUUAGAUACCCCGGUAGUCCUGGCCGUAAACGAUGGGUACUAGGUGUAGGAGGUAUCGACCCCUUCUGUGCCGGAGUUAACGCAAUAAGUACCCCGCCUGGGGAGUACGACCGCAAGGUUGAAACUCAAAGGAAUUGACGGGGGCCCGCACAAGCGGUGGAGUAUGUGGUUUAAUUCGACGCAACGCGAAGAACCUUACCAGGUCUUGACAUUGAKGACAGAACUAGAGAUAG
rnacentral:rRNA from 1 species